AAUCCUACGGGAGGCAGCAGUAGGGAAUCUUCCACAAUGGACGAAAGUCUGAUGGAGCAACGCCGCGUGAGUGAAGAAGGGUUUCGGCUCGUAAAGCUCUGUUGGUAGUGAAGAAAGAUAGAGGGAGUAACUGGCCUUUAUUUGACGGGAAUUACUUAGAAAGUCACGGCUAACUAAGUGCCAGCAGCCGCGGUAAUACGUAGGUGGCAAGCGGUGUCCGGAUUUAUUGGGCGUAAAGCGGGUGCAGGCGGGUCAAAAA
rnacentral:rRNA from 1 species